ACACCUAACACAAACACACAUUCAUACAAGCAUAGGGGAGAGUAACAAACGUGAAGAGGUUGAGAAGAUGUAAUGAUGGGAAAAAACCACUGAGUUUGUAAGAACAAACCAAGCAACCAAAGGUAAUCAAAUUUAAUAUAACCCUUCUAUUGUCUCUUUAGGGUUGAAUUUUAGUUUACACCAGUUAAGAUGUUGGGAGAAAGGUGAUACUUGCGGUCUGUUCGUAAUGUCCGAGCUCCCAUUAUUGAGCAUGUGGUUGAUGUUGCUCUUUGUUCCUCACGAGGUUGUAGUUUCAAGUUGAAGCGGCAAAGAGGAUUCUGGGCGGUGCAAUAUCCGAGCGCGGUGCGAUAUACCCUUUCUGUCUGGAUUUCUGCCUGCUUUCUUGGAGGUUUCUGAGUCUCUAAGGAAGUUGUAUAGAGUUGAAGAAGGUUUCAAAACAGAGGCCUUUGGAGCAGAGAGGGGGGUUGUUUGGAGUUGGGAGAGAGAGGGGGAGCUCCCAGGCCGCGUGUUUCAGAGAAGAGAGGGUGCGAAGAGAGGUCCCAGGAGAGUUUGAACAGAGAGUGUGCGAAGAGCAGGGCGUAGCUUUUGGUCCUAAGCAUAUAUAGGUGUGAUGGGGCGACGUAUGGGCUUGGCACUACAUUUCCCAUAAGUCCGUAGCAGAGCGUAACGUAGCUUAAUAGGUGUCAGUACGCGCUAUAAAUAGACGCACAACAGCAUAGCGUGCUUUUGGUUGUCAUUCAUUGAGGCUACAAACAAGUGGGUAUCAAGCAGGUAAUUUGUUCUCUAACUAUUAUAGUAAUUGUGACUUUGCUUGUUCAUUGUGUCCGGAGAGCGGUUUGUUUAUUUGAUGUCAUCAUUUCAAGUUUGAUUGCAUGCAUUUAGAACAAUAUGUUGUUAGAUCAGCUCUGUGUAGCGGAGGAUAUAAAGUGCCCUCACGCAUGGGAUUUAUUGCGAGGUAGGAAAUGCGAGAAGAAAGGCGGGGUAAACAGUUACUUUAUUGUGUUGUGUUUCAGAAUCCCACCUGUGUUAAUGGUGAUUGGCCUGGUGACACAGUCGGCAGAUUUUAACUGAUAUGCUACUUGUGUGAAUUACAUUCAAAAGGUUCUCUAAGAAGAAACUCUGGGUUGGGUUUUAAUUCCUUUCGGUUAGGUCCAGUUAUGUAAGGACUAGCACGACUAUUGUUACCAUUUUUGUUUGUUGAUUUAGGUGAAAGGCCCUGUUUGUUGUGUGCUGUGUACGAAUAUUAUUGUAACUUUUUCUUUGGUUUGUUUUGUUACUCUUGUGUGUUAAAGGGCAGCCGCUCGUCUCCUCCGUGGGUGUGACUGGCACUGGUGAGGUGGUGGGACCCUUUAAUGGUUUGUGGUGAUUUGUGUAUAUUUUUGGAGUGCUGUGGUUGCUGUAGUGUGAUUGCUGUGCUACUGGGAGUUAAGAGCUUCUCAUCUGUUGCAUCUUCUCACACUUCGUCCUGCCCCGUUGUAGGCCUGAGGUUUGCCCUGAAUGUUUUGUUAUUUUGUGUUGCUUACUUUAACAUUCUCUUUUUUUUUAAAUUGAAAUUGCCCCAUUUAUGCAAUGUUUUAACGAGUAACUGGUUUUGUACUUUAUAAUAAAAACUGUUUGAAUGAG